rnacentral:rRNA from 1 species
AGAGUUUGAUCCUGGCUCAGGAUGAACGCUAGCGGCAGGCCUAAUACAUGCAAGUCGAACGGGAUCGGGGGCUUCGGUCCCCGUGAGAGUGGCGCACGGGUGCGUAACGCGUGAGCAACCUGCCCGUCCCAGGGGGAUAGCCCGGAGAAAUCCGGAUUAAUACCGCAUGAGAAUGCAGGUCCGCAUGGGCCUUCGUUUAAAUAUUCAUAGGGGACGGAUGGGCUCGCGUGACAUUAGCUUGUUGGCGGGGUAACGGCCCACCAAGGCGACGAUGUCUAGGGGCUCUGAGAGGAGAAACCCCCACACUGGUACUGAGACACGGACCAGACUCCUACGGGAGGCAGCAGUAAGGAAUAUUGGUCAAUGGGGGGAACCCUGAACCAGCCAUGCCGCGUGCAGGAAGACGGCCCUACGGGUUGUAAACUGCUUUUGCACGGGAAUAACCCCCGGUAUGUAUACCGGGCUGAAUGUACCGUGAGAAUAAGGAUCGGCUAACUCCGUGCCAGCAGCCGCGGUAAUACGGAGGAUCCGAGCGUUAUCCGGAAUUAUUGGGUUUAAAGGGUGCGUAGGCGGCGCGCUAAGCCAGGGGUGAAAGACGGUGGCUCAACCAUCGCAGUGCCUUUGAUACUGGCGCGCUUGAAUGUACCUUGAGGUAGGCGGAAUGUGGCAAGUAGCGGUGAAAUGCAUAGAUAUGCCACAGAACACCGAUUGCGAAGGCAGCUUACCAAAGUACGAUUGACGCUGAGGCACGAAAGCGUGGGGAUCGAACAGGAUUAGAUACCCUGGUAGUCCACGCCCUAAACGAUGAACACUCGAUGUCGGCGAUAGACGGUCGGCGUCCAAGCGAAAGCGUUAAGUGUUCCACCUGGGGAGUACGCCCGCAAGGGUGAAACUCAAAGGAAUUGACGGGGGCCCGCACAAGCGGAGGAGCAUGUGGUUUAAUUCGAUGAUACGCGAGGAACCUUACCCGGGCUUGAAAGUUACUGAAUUGUCCAGAGAUGGACAGGUCCUUCGGGGCAGGAAACUAGGUGCUGCAUGGCUGUCGUCAGCUCGUGCCGUGAGGUGUUGGGUUAAGUCCCGCAACGAGCGCAACCCCUAUGUUUAGUUGCCAGCACGUCAAGGUGGGGACUCUAAACAGACUGCCUGUGCAAACAGAGAGGGAGGCGGGGACGACGUCAAGUCAUCAUGGCCCUUACGUCCGGGGCUACACACGUGCUACAAUGGGGGGUACAGAGGGCAGCGACACCGCGAGGUGAAGCCAAUCUCAGAAAGCCCCUCACAGUUCGGAUCGGGGUCUGCAACUCGACCCCGUGAAGUUGGAUUCGCUAGUAAUCGCGUAUCAGCAAUGACGCGGUGAAUACGUUCCCGGGCCUUGUACACACCGCCCGUCAAGCCAUGAAAGCCGGGGGUACCUAAAGCAUGUAACCGCAAGGAGCGUGUCAGGGUAAAACCGGUAAUUGGGGCUAAGUCGUAACAAGGUA